ACGGAGGGUGCAAGCGUUAUCCGGAUUUAUUGGGUUUAAAGGGUCCGUAGGCGGAUCUUUAAGUCAGUGGUGAAAUCCUGCAGCUUAACUGUAGAAUUGCCAUUGAUACUGGAGAUCUUGAGUACACUGGAAGUAGGCGGAAUACGGCAUGUAGCGGUGAAAUGCAUAGAUAUGCCGUAGAACACCGAUUGCGAAGGCAGCUUACUAUCGUGUAACUGACGCUGAGGGACGAAAGCGUGGGUAGCGAACAGG
rnacentral:rRNA from 1 species